AACUAACGCUGGCGGCGUGCCUAACACAUGCAAGUCGAACGAGAAAGUUGGCUUCGGCCGAUGAGUAAAGUGGCGCACGGGUGAGUAACGCGUGGAUAAUCUGCCCUUUAGUUUGGAAUAACGUACCGAAAGGUGCGCUAAUACCGGAUAAUACUGAAUGACUACUGUCGUUUAGUCAAAGAAGGCUUCUGUUUACAUGCUUUUGCUGAAGGAUGAGUCCGCGUACCAUUAGCUAGUUGGUAGGGUAAUGGCCUACCAAGGCGACGAUGGUUAGCUGGUCUGAGAGGAUGAUCAGCCACACUGGAACUGAGACACGGUCCAGACUCCGUACGGGAGGCAGCAGUGAGGAAUAUUGCGCAAUGGGGGCAACCCGUGACGCAGCAACGCCGCGUGAGUGAGGAAGGUUUUCGGACCGUAAAGCUCUGUCGAGCGGGAAGAAAUGCAUGGUGGCUAAUAUCCAUCAUGCUUGACGGUACCGACGUAAAGGAAGCACC
rnacentral:rRNA from 1 species